UGACGCGUAGCUCAGUUGGCAGAGCAUUGGGCUAGUAUUCCAAAGGUCGUAGGUUCGAAUCCCACCGUGGCCG